AAUUCAUACAAUAAUUUACUUGAGCCAGAGCAGCCAAAAGAAGAAACUCUCAUAUCUCUAUUCUUUACAUCCAAAGCCAAAUAUCCACUCGAAGGCACACAUUUGUAUACAAGGACCAACUUCUCAACCAUCUAUAGAAAUAGUCCUUAAAAUGAGAAUUUUCAUUUUGUAUCAUAAGCUUUUCACAUGCACUUAGAGCCUGAGGUUGAGAUCAAUGCCAUCUCCUCUCGUUUCAAUCCUCUCAUUGUUUAAGCCAAAGUCUGUUUCCACCGUACCAAUUUGCUUACUUGGAAGUAAGAAGCUAUAGAAA
rnacentral:misc_RNA from 1 species